GAGAGUUUGAUCCUGGCUCAGAACGAACACUGGCGGCGUGGAUUAGGCAUGCAAGUCGAACGAGAACGUUCUCUUCGGAGAACUAGUAGUGGCGAACGGGUGAGUAACGGGUGGAAAACCUGCCCUUCAAUGGGGGAUAACAGUUCUAACGAGCUGCUAAUACCGCAUACGACCUUCAGGCCUCCUGGUCUGAAGAUGAAAGGUGGCGACCUCUUCGGAGAGCUGCCGUUGAAGGAUGGUUCCGCCUCCCAUUAGCUUGUUGGUGGGGUAAUGGCCUACCAAGGCGACGAUGGGUAGCCGGCCUGAGAGGGUGUCCGGCCACACUGGGACUGAGAUACGGCCCAGACUCCUACGGGAGGCAGCAGUCGAGAAGCUUCGGCAAUGGGCGAAAGCCUGACCGAGCGAUGCCGCGUGAGCGAAGAAGGUUCUAUGAAUUGUAAAGCUCUGUCAGAUUGGGAAGAAAACCUUGCGGUUAAUACCCGUAAGGCUUGACGGUACCAUCAGAGGAAGCACCGGCUAACUCCGUGCCAGCAGCCGCGGUAAUACGGAGGGUGCAAGCGUUGUUCGGAUUCACUGGGUAUAAAGGGUGCGCAGGCGGCCUGAUAAGUCAGGGGUGAAAUAUGACGGCUCAACCGUCAAACUGCCCCCGAAACUGCGAGGCUUGAGUCCGUGAGAGGUAGGUGGAAUUCCUGGUGUAACGGUGAAAUGUGCAGAUAUCAGGAAGAACACCCGUGGCGAAGGCGACCUACUGGCGCGGAACUGACGCUGAGGCACGAAAGCUAGGGUAUCGAACGGGAUUAGAUACCCCGGUAGUCCUAGCCGUAAACGAUGUCUACUAGGGUGUCGGGGGUUCUACCCCCUCGGUGCCGCCGCUAACGCAUUAAGUAGACCACCUGGGGAGUACGAUCGCAAGGUUGAAACUCAAAGGAAUUGACGGGGGCCCGCACAAGCGGUGGAGCAUGUGGUUUAAUUCGAUGCAACGCGAAGAACCUUACCUGGACUUGACACUGGAAUCCCAUUUAAUUUUGGGAGUGCCCUUCGGGGAACUGGGUGACAGGUGCUGCAUGGCUGUCGUCAGCUCGUGUCGUGAGAUGUUGGGUUAAGUCCCGCAACGAGCGCAACCCUUACCUUUAGUUGCCAGCGGAUAAUGCCGGGGACUCUAGAGGAACUGCCGGUGUCAAGCCGGAGGAAGGUGGGGAUGACGUCAAGUCCUCAUGGCCCUUAUAGGCAGGGCUACACACGUGCUACAAUGGCCGGUACAGAGGGCAGCGAAGGGGUGACCUGGAGCGAACCUCAAAAGCCGGUCUCAGUUCGGAUUGGAGUCUGCAACUCGACUCCAUGAAGUCGGAAUCGCUAGUAAUCGCGGAUCAGCAUGCCGCGGUGAAUACGUUCCCGGGCCUUGUACACACCGCCCGUCACACCAUGGGAGUUGGUUUGACCCGACGUCGUCAGGCGAACCCGCGAGGGGCGCAGGCGCCGAAGGUCGGCGUCGCGAUUGGGGUGAAGUCGUAACAAGGUAGCCGUAG
rnacentral:rRNA from 1 species